GGUUCCAUAGCUCAGUUGGUCCAGAGCGUCAGCCUAAUACAAGCACUUGUAAGCUGAAGGUCGAGGGUUCGAUCCCCUUUGGGACCA
rfam:Purpureocillium lilacinum isolate PLFJ-1 scaffold00002, whole genome shotgun sequence.